CAUCACAUGGAUGUGGGGGAUGCUCAGUAUAUUAACCACGUUCCUACUGGCUGCUGGUACAGUAAGGUCACAUUUCCUGAUGCUGCAACUGGUCAGAAACCCUGAUGAACCUCAUUCCACUGAGCUUCUCUUGAUCUUUGAUUGACUUUUUGGUGUUAAUCAGUCUUUAAAGGAGGUGAGGAAUCCCCUGAAGAUGAGUUCAUGCAGCUCCC